GCAUUGCAUCAUCAUCAUCAUCAUUUCUUCUUCUUCUUCUUCUUCUUCUUAGUUACACAGCUCCAAAGUCUGCAACUUUUCUCUUCCGAACACAAACCGAAGAAAACGAAACGAACAAUGCGACUCUAUUAAGAACUAUCAAUACAAAACAAAUGGCGUUCGCAGCCACCACGACGGCAACUACUAACCUCUCUGAAUUGCACCUCAAAACUUGUUCACCUUCAUCACUCUCACUCACUUCUCCUCAUUCUUCAUCUUCCUCCUCAACGCUCUUCUUCUUUGGCUCUAAACCCCCAUUCCGCACUCUUACACUCACACCCUUCUCUUCUCUUAGAACCUCACAACAACAACAUACAAAACAGAAUAACCGUUCUUCUUCCACAACAAAACCUAACACCAACACCAGCACCAGCACCAGCAACCCUUCUGCCCCAUGGCUCGCAAAAACCCCUCCCCCCAAUAAUUCCUCCAAAAGGGUCACCGAAUCUCACACCAACGACCCACUUCAUGAUACAACGGAAAAUCGUUACUUUGACGGUGAUAAGGGGCAAAACGCGGUUGAGAGGAUCGUUCUUCGGUUGAGGAACCUGGGAUUGGCUUCAGAUGAUGAUGAUGAUGAUGAUGAUGAAGAAGGAAAAGAAGAGGUCUCAAUUGGUGGUGCUGGUGAUGAUUUUCCGGUGACCGGAGAAGAGAGGCUUGGUGAGCUUCUGAGAAGGGAAUGGGUUAGGCCUGAUGCUAUUGUACGUGAAGAUGAUGGUGUUGGUGAUGAUGAGAUGGUUUUUUUGCCAUGGCAGAGAGAAGUGGAAGAGACAGAUAUGGGUGCUGCUAAAGAGGGAGGGGAGAAAGGGAUGAGGGAUAAGAGGAGAGUAAAGGCUCCAACUUUGGCGGAGCUGACGCUUGAGGACGAGGUUUUGAGGAGGUUAAGGAGGGAAGGAAUGCGUACUAGGGAGAGGGUUAAUGUCCCUAAAGCUGGGCUCACCAAGGAGGUUAUGGAGAAGAUUCAUGAGAGGUGGAGGAAGGAGGAGCUUGUGAGGCUCAAGUUUCAUGAGGACCUUGCAAGGGACAUGAGGACUGCUCAUGAGAUUGUUGAGCGCCGAACAGGAGGGUUGGUCACAUGGAGGGCAGGUAGUGUUAUGAUGGUUUAUCGUGGUGCUAAUUACCAGGGGCCUUCAUCUGGGGGUCAACACAAUGCAAAAGAAGGUGAUGCUUUUUUUGUACCGGAUGUCUCUUCGAGAACAAAAGACAGUGAUGCAGCCUCAUCAUCGGAGAAGAGUGAGCCAAUUGUGUGGAAUCGAGUACAGCCUGAAAACAUGACAGAGGAGGAAGCGGAGUACAAUGCCCUGCUUGAUAGUUUAGGUCCUCGUUUCAUUGAAUGGUGGGGUACAGGAAUACUUCCUGUUGAUGCUGAUUCACUUCCCCCUACAGUUCCAGGUUACAAAACACCCUUUAGGCUUCUUCCUACUGGAAUGCGUUCUCGACUAACAAAUGCGGAAAUGACCAAUUUAAGGAAACUUGCCAAGACACUUCCUUGUCAUUUUGCCUUGGGGAGAAAUAGACGUCACCAAGGCCUAGCUUGUGCUAUUCUUAAGCUUUGGGAGAAAAGUUUAAUUGCAAAGAUUGCUGUAAAACGUGGUAUCCAGAACACAAACAAUGAACUGAUGGCUGAGGAGAUAAAGACAUUGACCGGAGGUACCUUGCUGCUAAGGAAUAAAUAUUACAUUGUUAUAUAUCGUGGGAAGGACUUUGUCCCGACAGCUGUAGCUACGGUCCUAGCUGAAAGACAGGAAAUGACCAAACAGGUACAAGAUGUUGAAGACAAGUUCCGGUCUGGUGUUCUUGAUGCUACUCCAUCAGGGAAGGAUGAAUCAGCAACACCACGAGCAGGAUCUUUAGCAGAGUUCUAUGAAGCUCAGGCACGCUGGGGAAGGGAUAUAUCUACUGAAGAACGGGAGAGGAUGAUGGAGGAAGCUGCCAAAUCCAAGCAAGUCAGGCUAGUCAGACAUAUCGAACAUAAAUUAGCUACCGCUGAGGCCAAAAAACUUAGGGCAGAAAGGCUGUUAGCAAAAAUAGAAGCAUCUAUGGUUCCAGCUGGUCCUGAUUAUGACCAGGAGACAAUCACAGAUGAAGAACGUGUUGUGUUCCGUCGGAUUGGUUUAAGAAUGAAGGCAUAUUUACCACUUGGUAUUCGUGGUGUUUUUGAUGGUGUCGUUGAGAACAUGCAUUUGCAUUGGAAACAUCGAGAGCUUGUAAAAUUGAUAUCAAAACAGGAGACCCUUGCUUUUGUUGAAGAUACAGCAAGGUUACUGGAAUUUGAAAGUGGUGGAAUCCUAGUGGCAAUAGAGAGAGUUCCCAAAGGAUUUGCUCUUAUUUACUAUCGUGGAAAGAAUUAUAAGAGGCCCAUCAUUCUGAGGCCUAAAAACUUACUGACAAAGCAAAAAGCAUUGAAGCGAUCGGUGGCUAUGCAACGGCAUGAGGCUCUUAGUCAGCAUAUUACUGAGUUGGAGAAAACCAUAGAACAAAUGAAAACAGAACUUGGAAUGCCUCAAGAUCUGGAAGAUGAAGAUAUGCCAAACAUAGAGGACCAUAACCAAAUAGACAAUAGCUCGGAAUUCAGCCAAAGCGAAGAUGAAAAUUUUGAUGGUUUGGAUGAUUAUGAUGACGAUGAAGAUGAUGAUUCUGAUGAGGAGCAAGACAUUGAUUGGGAAGAUGAGGAUGACUCUGAGUUUUCUAAAUUAGAAAAUGGUGAACAUCCUUGAAGGCCAUAUGCAAAUCCUUGAAGGCCAUUCUGAAUUUUCAAAAUUAAUUGCAAUGAACUUUGCCAGUGCCUGCAGCUAGAGCGGUAUCAAACUUUGCCAUUUGAUCAUUCAGUUCAUAAGUUUGCGACACUGUUUUUAAUACCUUGCACUGUUUCAUGAUCAAUUUUGGCCUUUGCACAACUUGAUAAUUUCUUCUUGAUCAGAUGAGGUGUUAAUUUGUUUUUCCCCCCUAGGGGACUAUUUUGCAAUAAAUCUAGCAACUGUUCCUACUUGUAGAGUGAACGAGUGAUCAUAAGAGGCAGGCUCUCAUAAAACUUGAGUGGUUCUUCCGCUUACACAAUCUGAUCUGAAAUUUGGUUUCAGUUUUACAUAAAAAAUUCUACAAAGAUGCGAGUACAUAUAAUAUUUCAAGCACUGUUGUAUAAUUGAGUCUGAAUUUCAUUGUAGAUUACCUGGUUAUUGUAAAUCCUCCUUCAAACCGUAAUUUCUUUUUGUAAUAUGUUAUGCUUUAUAUGCAAUCAUUCAAUGCAGCAAAAGAAUAAUUCCUUUAUUUAA